CCGAUUUAGAGACAGAACUGUCUCAUUACUUCCUGGGUUGUGGCAGCAAGGAAGGGCAAGAAGGGGGAUAAUACAUCCUCGGGCAACAAGGGCUACACUCUAAACGUUCUGGUUUAAACCCCAACAAAAUAAUCCAGCCGACAAUGAUGCCUGUAACCAUGGUACCCCACUCCAGUUUGUGUGUGAAUGGCAAGGGAGGAGAGGGAGAGAGAGAGACGCUGUUUUGCUGCCAGAGAAGCCGCUGACUGAGUUUACUCUGAGCAGCAAGUCGCUAAAAGGGUCUAUAAAGUCACAAAGUCCAGCGAGAAAGGCGACAAUUUAGCAAACGUGUGCAUGUGUGUAUGUGUGUGUGUCACAUCUCACAAUAAAAAUAUGAU